rnacentral:rRNA from 1 species
AGAACGAACGCUGGCGGCGUGCCUAAUACAUGCAAGUCGAACGAACACUUCGGUGUUAGUGGCGCACGGGUGCGUAACGCGUGGGAAUCUGCCCUUGGGUUCGGAAUAACAGUUGGAAACGACUGCUAAUACCGGAUGAUGACGAAAGUCCAAAGAUUUAUCGCCCAGGGAUGAGCCCGCGUAGGAUUAGCUAGUUGGUGAGGUAAAGGCUCACCAAGGCGACGAUCCUUAGCUGGUCUGAGAGGAUGAUCAGCCACACUGGGACUGAGACACCGGCCCAGACCUCCGUACGGGAGGCAGCGAAGGUAGGGAAUAGUUGGAACAAGUGGGCGCAAGGCUGACUCAGCAAGUGCCGCGUGAGUGAGUAGGAAGGUCCGUUAGGGUUAGUAAACGUCUUACCUUUACCCGAGAUGAAUAAUAGACAGUACGUGGAA